AUAACUAUGUAAAUAUCACAGAAACGUCUUUGUAAAUAUAACCCUGUUGUUUAUAUGUUCAGGAAUACGAGCAUCAGUGCAGUGCUGAAGCCACGUUUGUGAAAGAAUUAGAUCAAUGUGAAAUGAUCCUACAGGCUCUGGAGUAUGAGGAACUGGAGAAGAGACCAGGAAGAUUGCAGGACUUUUAUAACUCAACAGCAGGUCAGUAAUGGUUUCCAUUCACAGUACAUAGGAGAGGGAUUUGUCUUGUGAAUUGUCAUAUUAUGCACUGAUAUUUGACCAUACAUAUAGUAAUAAAAGUUCCCCAUGGUGCCGUGACAUUAAUUGCUCUAAAUGAGACAAGUUACCAAAUUCCUAAAUGUCAAGUUAUUUUUGUUGUAAAAGAUAACAUCUUAUUCCAGGUCAGGAAGUGGAGAUUGAAAAUCAUUUGUGGUAUUAAUAACUAAUAACAAGGAAUAAUGAAGUAUUGCCAACUGCUAAAAGUUUAGACAAGAUAUGCAAAUUCAUGUAUAAAUGGUUUAUUUUCAUGUCAUGAUAUAACAUGAAACCUAAACAAUGCAAUAUCUGCUUGUAUGUAUUUUGGGUGAGUAAAUGUAUAGGCAUCUAGCAUAGAUUCAUAUCUGAUGGUUCUUUAUAGUAGAUCCUCAAAAUGUUUGGAUGCCCUGUCCAACUUUAGGUCACUUUGCUUCAUUUGCAUUUUGCUAUAUUAGUAUUUGUUAUAGCAGGAAGAGAGAAAAUAUUUCAAAAAUCAUAGUAGACAUUCCUUUACAUGUUAAUUCUCUCAGUUGAUAACAAACGGAUGCAAGCAAAUCAUUUUAUAAUUCUAUUUUGAUUUACACAUUUUUUAGCAUGUCAUAACAGCAAAUCUGAAAUCAAAUCAGUGCUAUUUACAAUAUGCUUUUUAAAUAGGUUAUGGUGCAAGGAAGUGCCCUCUCUCUGCUACAUGGCAUGCACAUGUUAUAAAAAUCCCCAUCUAUACCAACAGGCUCCCUUACUGCUUACCUUAAUAUAUUUGAGUCACAAAUACAUGCUCACAAUACUGUAAAUGGAAUUGAUGGAAGUGCUAAAUUACAAAAUCAGCUCUAUUGAAAUUAUGAGGCUAACAUAAUUAUCUUGGCUUUUGUUUUGGUUACACUUCCACUGCAGAAUCUUGAAAUUUUGCAACACAUUUUUUUCCAUAAUUACAGUAUGUUUUGUUGUUUUUUAAAGUGCCUUGAUAUUAUUAUUAUUAUUAUUAUUAUUAUUAUUAUUAUGAUAUUUAUAGAGCGCCGUCAAAUUCCGCAGCGCUUUACAAUGGGUGGACGAACAGACAUGUAGUUGUAACCAGACAAGUUGGACACACAGGAACAGAGUGGUUGAGGGCCCUGCUCAAUGAGCUUACAUGCAGAGGGAGUGGGGUAAAAUGACACAAAAAGGUAAGGGUAGUAUUAGACUAGUGACAGUUGCAGAAGAGGAAUAAGUCAAGAGGUAUUAACAGUUUAAUUGAAACGCUUUUAAGAAGUGGGUUUUUAACGAUUUUUUGAAGGAGUGGAGACUGGGUGAGCAUCUAACGGAGGAGGGAAGCGAGUUCCACAGGAACAGUGCAGCCCUCGAGAAAUCUUGAAGGUGAGCAUCAGAGGUGGGAGUACGGACAGAAGAUAGACGUAAGUCUUCAGCAGAUCGUAAGGGCCUAGACGGGACAUACUUGUGUAUAAGGGAGGAUAGAUAGGUGGGAGCAGCAUUAUGUAGAGAUUUGAAAGCAAGAACCAUAAUUUUAAAUUGAGCUCUCUAUUUUAUAGGAAGCCAAUGUAGGGACUAACAGAAGGGAAAGGCAUGGGAGGUGCGGGCGGACAGGAAGAUGAGCCUCGCCGCCGCAUUCAUUAUGGACUGUAACGGCGCUAGUUGGGAGCACGUAAGACCAAUGAGAAGCAGAUUACAGUAGUCAAGGCGAGAAAGGACAGUAGAAUGGACCACCUUAGUCGCAUCUGGCGUUAAGUAGGGGCGGAUGCGCGCAAUAUUUUUGAGAUGGAAAUGACAGGAUUUGGUGAUUGAACAUGAGGCUUGAAGGAGAGGUCGGAGUCAAAGAGAACACCUAGGCAGCGAGCCUGCGUGGUGGAGCUCAUGGUAGCUCCGUUGACUUGGAGGGAGACAGACACAGGAGUAACAACAUUUGAGGGAGGAAAGACCAGAAUUUCAGUUUUGGUCAAGUUUAGUUUAAGGAAGUGGGCAGCCAUCCAGUUAGAAACAGCAGAGAGGCAGUCAGAGACACUAGUCAAGAGGGACGGGGAGAGAUCAGGAGAGGACAGGUAGAUUUGCAUGUCAUCUGCAUAGAAAUGAUAUUGGAAGCCAAAGGAGCUAAUGAGUUUACCAAGGGAGGCAGUAUAGAUGGAGAACAGUAGGGGACCAAGGACUGAACCUUGGGGAACACCAACAGAGAGGAGUUGGGGAGAAGAAGCAGAGCCAGAGAAAGAAACACUGAAAGAGUGCUGGGAGAGGUUGGAGGAGCACCAGGAGAGAGCAAUAUCUUGUAGACCGAUAUUGCGGAGGAUGAGAAGAAGCUGUUGAUGAUCAGCAGACAGGUCAAGGAGAAUUAGGAUAGAGUAGUGACCACGAGAUUUUGCAGCGAGUAGAUCAUUGGAUACUUUGGUCAGUGCCGUUUCCACAGAGUGCUCAGCGCGGAAACCAGACUGAAGCGGGUCUAGUAGAGAGUUGGACUCGAAGUCUGUCAAUCUUGCAUACAUCAUUUUUUCAAGGAUCUUGGAUGCAAAAGGCAGUAGCAAGAUAGGACGAUAGUUGGAUGGGGAGUUAGGGUUAAGAUUGGGCUUCUUUAGAAUUGGGGUUACAGUUGCAUGUUUGAAGGGCAAUGGAAAUAUACCAGAGGAGAGAGAGAUUGAGAAUUUUAGUGAGAGGUGGAGAAAGAGAAGAAGACAGAGUACGGAUGAGAUGUGAGGGAAUUGGAUCUAAGUAGCAGGUGGUGGGGUGGGAGGACUGGAGCAGAGCAGAAACCUCUUCCAAUGUAGCAGUUGCGAAUGAACAUAGAACAGCAGAGGGAGUGAUGUAAGGGGAAGAAGAAAAAUGAGAGAUCUCUUCUCUGAUUGUAGAGAUCUUGUCAGUGAAGUGAGUUGCAAAGUCUGAGGCGGUCAAGUUAGUAGGUGGAGGAGGAACAGCAGGGCGAAGAAGAGUUAAAUGUGUGAAAUAGUCGUUUGGGUUCGCGGGAGAGUGUGGUUAUGAGGGUAUUGAAGUAACUUUUGCAGAGGAAAGAGCCAAGCUGUAUGAGCUCAGCAUAAAUUUAUAGUGGAGAAAGUCCGAUGCACAGUGAGACUUUCUCCAACAGCAUUCAGCAGUUCUGGAGCAUUUUUGGAGGUAUCGAAUGAGCUUGGUGUGCCAGGGUUGUUGUUGGGGGCGCCUGCGGCGUUCAAAUGUACAAGGUGCCAUGAUGUUUAGUUGAGAGGAGAGGGUGGAAUUGUAGAAGGAGGUUGCAGAACAAGGACAGGUGAGGUUUGAGAUAGGUAAAAGGAGAGUUUGGAGAUUAGUGAAGGAAAUACUCUAGGUCAAGACAUUGGAGGUUUCUGUGAGAGUGAGGUUCAGACGGUGUUGUCAAUUGGGUCUUAGGUAUGCUAGUGUCAAAAGUCAGCAGAUGGUGGUCAGAUAGAGGAAAAGGAAUAUUGGAGAGAUUAGAGGCAGUACAGAGGUUGGUGAAGGCAAGAUCAAGAGUGUUUCCCACUGUAUGGGUUGCUAGAUUGGACCAUUGCGUAAGGCCAAAGGAGGAGGUUACAGAGAGCAGACGAGAGGCAUCAUGCAAUUGGGUUUAUUUAUUGGGAUAUUGAAAUACACAAGUAUAAGGGAAGGAGUGCAAGAUGAGAGGAAGUGGGGAAGCCAGGAAGAAAAGUGCUCAAUGAAUAGUCUAGGAUAACCAAGGGGGCGGUAGAUUAUAGCAAUUCUUAAAGGAGUGGAUUUAAGUAGGCGGACAGUGUGAACUUCAAAAAAAGGAUAGGGCAGGGGGAGUUAUGAUUGGUUGAAAGGUACAUUGAGGGGAGAGAAGGAUGCCUACGCCGCCUCCUUUACAGUUGAGUCUGGGAGUGUGAGUCUGAGAGAAUUGUAGCCCACCAAAACAUAAAGAGGCAGGAGUAGCGCUAUCAGAGGGGGACAGCCAGGUCUCUGUAAGUGCAAGCAGUGUGAGCGAGUUUGAGAUGAAAAAGUCGUGUAUGGUUGUUGAUUUUAAAUUACUGCAGAUGGAGCGGGCAUUCCAGAGUGCACAAUUAAAGCGGCACUGUCAUGCCGAAUCCCGUUUUUUUUUUUAACCCCCCUCCCGCCUCCACUACAUCCAAUUGACUCCCUAGUCACCCCCAAAUGCCCCUAAGCCCCCCACAUUACCUAUUUUUUAAUCCUUAUUUUCUGCCCCAAUCUAUAUUCAGGGCGCCGCCAUCUUUGUGUGGGUAGAUGAAGUCCCUGUGGGACACGUCAUCUGCCCACACUAGACAGACUGUGAGAUUCCCGCACAUGCCCAGUGAAACACCUGGACAUGCGAACGGGAAUUUCAUCUAUUCAUUCAUUCAUCCAUCAGACAGACGAAUGAAUGAAUAGAAAUGUCAAACGAACAAACUAACACAAUGUAUCAGUGUUAGUUUGUUCGUUCAGUUUAUUACAAGGAGGGAGCUACCGGCACGCAGCUCCCUCCUUGUAAUAUGUAACUAUAGAAGCGGCAGGGAGCAGUGGGGGCUCUUACAAAACAAUAGGGGUGGGGGGACCUACUGUCCUCCCCCCCUGGCCCCCACCCCUGCGCGGUGGGUGGGGGCCCUAAUAAAACAAUAAUUGGGGGGGACCUACUAUCCUCCCCCCUAGCCCCCACCCCUGAGCGGUGGGUGGGGGCCCUAAAUAAAGAUAUGGGGGGGAACUUCUGUCCUGCCCCGGCCCCCACCCCUGAGCGGUGGGUGGGGGCCCUUAUAAAACAAUAAGGGGGGGGACCUACUGUCCUCCCCCCCUGGCCCCCACCCCUGCGCGGUAUGGGGGCCCUAAUAAAACAAUACAGGGGCCUACUGUCCUCCCCCAGACCCCACCCCUGAGCGGUGGUGGGGGGCCUAAAUAAGGUAUGGGGGAACUUCUGGCCCCACCCUGUCGCGGUGGGUGGGGGCCCUAAUAGAAGCUGUGGGGGGGGACUACUGUCCUCCUCCCCGGCCCCACCCCUCUUGUGAUUGGGUGGGGCUAAUAAAAGCUAUUAAGGGGGGACCUGCACAGUGUCCUCCCCUGGCCCCCCCCCACCCCUGCGAUUGGGUGGGGCCCUAAUAAAACAAUAGGGGGACCCAUGCACUCCCCUGGCCCCCACCCCUAGUAGUUGGUGGGGGCCCCUAAAUGAAACACACACACCACCCCAAUCAAGGUGACUGGGGUCCCAAGCCCUAGUCACCCCACCCAAAAACUAUCCCCAACCUACCUCACCCUAAAAUAGUGAAGGGAAAUAACAAACCUGUAAACAAAAAAAUUAAACUUACCAUUUGACGUCUUCUUUUUUCUAAAAUCUUCUUUCUUCGGCCCCCAAAAAGGCCAAAUAAAAAUCCAUCAUAACCGUCGCACUUUAAAAAAAAAAAAACGAGCGCAAAAAUAAAUAAAUCCAUGUUCGCCCUUCGAGGGCACGCCGCGUACUGAGCUCCGAAGGGCGGGUCAAGGCUUAUAAAGCUGUGCCCCGCCCUGAAUUAGGCUUAGAACACUCUGAUUGGUGGGUUUAAGCCAAUCAGAGUGCUCUGUGUCAUUUUACACAGCGUGGGAGAGUUCUUUUGAAUUUUCCCACGCUGUGUAAAAUGACUCAUAACACUCUGGUGUAUUAAGUAACCAAUCAGAGUGCUCUGAGUCAUUUUACACAGCGUGGGAAAAUUCAAAAGAACUUUCCCAUGCUGUGUAAAAUGACACAGAGCACUCUGAUUGGGUGGCUUUCAAGCGUGGGGCCAGGGGGGGAGGACAGUAGGUCCCCCCCCCUUAUUGUUUUAUUAGGGCCCCCACCCACCGCGCAGGGGUGGGGGCCGGGGGGGGACAGAAGUAACAAACCUGUAAACAAAAAAAUUAAACUUACCAUUUGACGUCUUCUUUUUUCUAAAAUCUUCUUUCUUCGGCCCCCAAAAAGGCCAAAUAAAAAUCCAUCAUAACCGUCGCACUUUAAAAAAAAAAAAAACGAGCGCAAAAAUAAAUAAAUCCAUGUUCGCCCUUCGAGGGCACGCCGCGUACUGAGCUCCGAAGGGCGGGUCAAGGCUUAUAAAGCUGUGCCCCGCCCUGAAUUAGGCUUAGAACACUCUGAUUGGUGGGUUUAAGCCAAUCAGAGUGCUCUGUGUCAUUUUACACAGCGUGGGAGAGUUCUUUGAAUUUUCCCACGCUUGUGUAAAAUGACCAUAACACUCUGGUGUAGUAAUUAAUAGAGCUUGAAGUCAUUUAUACACGGGAAAAUCAAAAGAACUUUCCCAUGCUGUGUAAAAUGACACAGAGCACUCUGAUUGGUGGCUUUCAAGCGUGGGGCCAGGGGGGGAGGACAGUAGGUCCCCCCCCCUUAUUGUUUUAUUAGGGCCCCCACCCACCGCGCAGGGGUGGGGGCCGGGGGGGGACAGAAGUUCCCCCCCAUAUCUUUAUUUAGGGCCCCCACCCACCGCUCAGGGGUGGGGGCUAGGGGGGAGGAUAGUAGGUCCCCCCCAAUUAUUGUUUUAUUAGGGCCCCCACCCACCGCGCAGGGGUGGGGGCCGGGGGGGGACAGAAGUUCCCCCCCAUAUCUUUAUUUAGGGCCCCCACCCACCGCUCAGGGGUGGGGGCCAGUAGGUCCCCCCCAUCUUUAUUUAGGGCCCCCACGGGCAUGGGGGGGGGGUAUUAGUUUUUUUUUGUUUGUUUGUUUGUUUUUUACAGUGAGCAGCUAUAAGCUGCUCACUGCUUACUACACAUGCCCCUACUCGCGGUAUAGCGAGUAGGGGCAUAUUAUUUACUAAUACUAAGUAAUUUUUACUUAGUAUUAGUAAAGUUGGCUGAAAGACCAAUUUAGGUCUUUCAGCCUUUUAGUAGAUAGCUCCCUGAUACCGUGGGAAUUAGGGAGUUAUCUACUAAGCGGCUGCAAGAUGCAGCCACAGCAAGAAUAGGAUCGGAGUUUCAUUCAUUAGAAUUAAAUUCCGAUCCGAAUAAAGUGCCGAAUUGUGUUCUAAAAGAAACGAACAUACUGUUCUCAUUCAGUUAGAACGCAAUUUGGCAGUUUUAGCCAAAAUGACAGGAAGCAUUGUGGGAACACAAAGGGAAGGUGAGAAUCAUGGGAAAAUUGCUCUGACCAGCGGAAAUGAAGCACACUUUGCUCCUCCGCUGGUCAGAGCUGGUCAAGCGGAGGAAUCCUCCAUAAGGCAAAGAGUCCCUACUUUGUCUUAUGAUUUUAAAGAAAACUAAAGAAGACAGGAAGAAAAGAAUAACAGAUCCUGAGAGAGGGGGAGAAGAGGAAGAGAUUGAGGAAAGGUAAGUUUGGCAUGACAGUGCCGCUUUAAUUUUGGUAAGUGAGGGUAAAGGGCAGGGUAUUGUGAUGAGGUUUGUGGGGUUUCUGGUUGUCUUAGUGUGUGUAGAGAAGGUGAAGGGCCCUGGAUUGGGAGAGACAUCACCAGCUGCUAGAAGUAGGAGGAGAGAAAGUGACAGGAGGUGUGAAUGGGUUUUGUAUGCAUGGGGUCUCGGAUGAGAUCGAUUGUGGGUUGGAGUGAGAGAGUAGAAAAAUGAGUGUAAGGCAUGAGAUGAGAGAAGGCGGUAGUGUAGCAGAGAAGGGCAUAUGUAAAUGUGGAUGGGGGAUGAGUGAAGUGGGUGUAAGGAGAGAUUUUUAUACUGAGGGAGACUGAGGAAAUAAAGAGGAGGAGAAAACAGAUCAUUGCUAAACUGUGAAAAAUAAAAAUUGGAGAUAAUUGGAAUAUCAAGAGCAGGUGAAGGUGUUUUAUGGGUUAAGAAAGUGCAGGAGUGUACUAAUAAGAGGCAGAUUUUUUUAACCUAACUAAAAUGUAGGUGUGACAGACAAUCUAUAAAUGUAAUAAUGAGCAUGGGGUGGGAUGGUGUGGGGAGGGUGGGCAUCAGGCUUGCUCACAGAAGGAAUGGGCUUGCAAAGUUAGGGAAUCAGGCUGUUGAAUAGAGAGAGCUUGCAAUAAAGGUAAGGGUAUUCAUAAAGUAUACCGGUACACACCUUGUUUAAAUGAAAGUGCAUUAUCAUCAUCUUUACAUUUGUAGCAGAAAUUAUUUCAAAUGUGUAUAUUUUACAUUUUGAUUCUCUUCAGAAAUUUGGCCUCUUCCCUAACCUGUCGAUCAUCUCUUGGCAUUGACAUCACUAUCAACAAAAAGUACAAUUGCGGUUAGAAAUCUAGACUAAAGUAUUGGAGUAAUAUCCAUAAGCUUGGAGUCAAUCACAUGUUCUGAUCCAGGAGAAAUAUUCAGUUCAUACCAGCCAAAAAAAGUUUGGCUCAAACCAGCUAUUAAGGAGAAAUAAAGUACAUUUAUUUCUUGAUUAAAACCUUUUGACCGGGACACAGCAUGUUUCACAUGCUUGCAGAGGGAUUAUAAGACAUUCUGAUGCAGAUAAGCUGCCAGUGGAGCAAGCGUAAUCACAGUGGAGGGUUGCCAUGCUUGUAGCAAAGGACUGGGUGUUACAGAAGUUUAAUAUGAGAAUGCCAGCAUUUAAGCGAGGGGGAGCAGGUAAGUACAACUUUAGAAGCUCCCAGUGCAACAAUAUACAUGUUUUAUCACUAUAAUAAAAAAAAUAUAUUUACUGCCUUGGGAGCUGCUACAGCUUAAAGGAACACUCUGGGCACCAUAACAACUUCAUUGAAAUUAAGCUGUUAUGAUGCCUGGAGGCCCCUGGCGCAAACUCAUAUUUUGGGGUUUAACUGUUCAGGAGAGCGAAUCAGUAGCUUCACAUGCAUUAAAAAAAAAAAGGCAUAGGAGCUACUGAUUGGUUUAGAACGUCAGCGUAUCCACUUUUUAACAAUCAGCGGUGCGAGGAUUUCAGUAAACAGAAGGAUAGUGGGCAGAACAAUCUGGCACUGAAACAUAGAUUCUGGGGUUAAAAUGUUGGUGAAAGGCUCGUAAAAGUUUGUGAACCGUUUAACCCCUUAAGGUAACCUUCUGACACCAUAACAGCAAUAUUUUGAUUAAGUUGUUAUGGUGCACAAACUUUAAGGUGAACAUGUUGUGACAAGUUCACUUUAGUCAAAGGGCUCACCAUAGCCUAAAAUGUUUUUAAGGUUGUUUACCUGUUUACCACAUAGCUUAUAUUUAUCUGAUGAAUUAUUUAAAUAUUUUAUCAAACAAAGUAUUACAGAUCACUUUUUUUUUCCCCCCCAGGAAAAUUUAAACAUCCAGAAAUUGUUCAGCUUGUUUCGGCGAUCUAUGAAGAGAGAGACUCCAAUAUAGCAUCACAAAGUACUGGUCCUCCUCCUUAAAUUGUUGUUGAUUAAAAAUAAAAUAUUUAUAUAUUUUAUAUCUGUAUCUCAUUUGUAAAUCCACAGUACUUUUCACAAUAGGCUUUUUUUUCAUAACAUUGAACAUAUUGUGAAUAUAUACAUCAGUGUAAGCAAUACAGUUUGUUCAUAUUACCUUUAAUAUAUGCCUACUGUUUGAAAAUACAUGCAUACAUACAUUUUUAACCAUCACACAGAACAGUUAAAUAAUCUAAAGGCUUAAAGGACCACUCCACACUUGAAAAAGCACCAAACAAAAAAACAGUUUAUGAAUAUAUGCAUGCACAUUUUUAUGUGUGUGUUCAUUGGAAGUAUAGUCUAAAACAGCUAGCAAAAGCUGCAGUUCUUAUGACUGCAACCUUUGUAAGCCCUGCUCCUUCUUAUUUUUCACCAUAAGUGGCUAUCACUUCAUGGAGAAUUGUCCAUUCCGAGGCUUUUUUUGAUCGUCAAUAUUUUAGUUUUUGGGUGUUUAGUACGUACUGUCUAUGAGCUGCCGUGACAUACAUAUUCAUCCAUUUCCCCUUACCAUCCCCUGAGUGAAAGCGGCGAUCCGACAUGCCAUCUCCCCCACCCCUCAACACACUUCUAUCAUAUUAGCCCCCUCCCCCCCAGUAUGACUUGGCUGUCUUGGACUAAGCUGGCCAAGUGGUUGGUCCCGGUAAGGUAAAAUCCGCCGGUGGUGUAAUGGAGAGUUCGUGGAGGAAUUUCAUCAUGUCGUUCCCUGGUAGGUAGUUAGGUAUACGUUCUUCCCACCUUAAAGUCCACUAUUUUAAAUGGGUGUCCCCAGGUAAACCGGAUCCCUUUGUGGUGCAGUACAUCUGCCAUCGGUUUCCAGUCGCGUCUGCGUUGUAAGGUGCCUGGAGAGAGAUCUUGGUACAGAGCGCUCUUGGUACCUUGAUAUGUGAGCUUGUGAUCUCUUUUGUAUCGCAAGAUGGCUUCCUUGGUGGUAUAGUAAUGGAAGCGUAGGAUAAUAGACCGAGUGCUCAGAGCACAAAGUGCCACGGGACAUCACCAUUUUUAUCUUGGGAUGUCAGGCAGCUGGUGCUGGAAGUAGUCCUCCAUUUUUUUGCAGUAGUGGGCCUUCAUUAGGCGUUUAUGGUAGGCCUCUUAUGCGCAAGUUAUUGUACCUUAAUCGGUUUGAUAAAUCCUCUAUUAGCAUUUCCAAGUUGCAGAGCUGCUGUUCAGGGUGGAGUGUACUACUGAGUUGUGUGCCUUCACUACUGUUUCAGCUCUGUGUUCUAGGUCAGCAUUGCGCUUCCCCAGGGCCUGAAUCUCGGCCUUGACUUCCUGAGAUUUGUGAGCAAUUUCGUCUGCCAGGUAAGAUCUCACCUCCGAUAGUAUGGAGAGUUUUUGGGUAGUAUCUCCAGGCUAGAAGUCCAUCAUGUCAUUCUCUGCCGUGGAAGCUGGAGACCCUGAACGCUGGCGGCCAUCUUGCGUGGCCUGUGAGGAUUGGGAUGCCGCGAACAUGUCGGCAACAUUUUGGGAGAAAUCCUGCUGCACUCCUAGUUUCUUACGACGUGGCUUAGGUAGGACAUUGAUAGAUGCGACUGUUGUGUUUGUGAGUUGUGAUGCUGUUUGCAGUUGCUUGAUUGCCCGUGGAUACACGGGAGCCCUCAAGCUAUGCGGCCAUCAAGGUUGCAAUCUCUAGAUCCUAUGUUUUAUAUUCAGAAAUCAUUGUAGUAUAGUGCUGUAUAUUAGAGCUGUUCUCCAAAGCCAUAUUGUUCCUAGGUAAUUCAGAACAGGUCGUAGGUGUGAUGAGAACGAAGUAUUAAAAAAAAAAAAACUAAUUUGCAGCCAUUUUCAAAUCAUGCUUUUGUAAAUGCUCAAUAGCUAUUUUCUGCCUUGCUAACAUACUUGAAAUUGUAUCAUUGCUCAAGUGUUUAACAGAUUUCUGGAUGAUUUCUCAUUGGGAUGGAAUGUGAAAUGUCCAAUGCACCCCCUGAUGAAAAAUACAUUAAAAGUAAAAAUAGAUCUUGGGGGGGGCGGGGCCUGACUGCGGAAUGGAGCAGACGCAAGCUGCAACAGCUCCUGCAUUUUACUGCUAACUAUACCGAAUUUUCAUGGAGCAGAGCCCGCAAACAGGCACAAUCUUACCUACUCGUGAACGGGGACUUUCUGCCCUCCAAGCUGAUACCACACAAGUGGACUACCUCGCCGGCUCCAACCUUGCGGCCUAGCAGCAUGGUCGCCUGGGGGAGACGGCCGCUUUCCCGCCGCCACAGCUCACUGCAGACUCCGGAUUGGGCUCCUGUUCCCUCCCCCCCUAUGGACCGGCAGGGGUCAUCCCAGUCCCCACCGACCCGGCACUCACAAAGUAUCAAGCUCCUAUUGCCUGCUGCGACGUGGGCUCCGACUACACCGGGCCGCUCAAAAUGGCGGACACUAGCCGUUCAUCAAGGCCUGUGCCCACGCAGUCUCUAAUCACACGACUAGACUCAAUACUCACCCAAUACUGGGAGAAGCUGGAGGAGCGCUCCAAGGCUCAAUUUCCUCCUGACCGGGGAAAGAAAGGAGAGGGACCGGAGACAAGGAGGCGGAAUGGGCCUGUCUCAGGCACAGCACUUUGCACAGCAUAUGACCCACGCAUCAAAAACCUACGCGGGCUGAGGGUCAUCUGGAGUCCCCCUAAGCAGCAUCACCCGGAGGGCCGCCUGCCGCAGGUGGCGGAAGAUCAGGACCUCCCACGGCGCCCACACAGGGAAGAGACCCGGUCCCACGGAGUUCCCGAGUCAGCCGGAAACAAAUGCCAACAUCAUAUCAGGCCUGGGGCUGCAGAGAGGCCUCUUCCUGCCCUCAGCUUACCACCAUGCUCCGAGAUCUUCAAGCAUCAGCUUCCUGCUUGCCAAACACGGGGAUCGGCUGACAGCAUGGUCGGAGGACAUGAUCCGGUCUGUCACUUAAAGAGAACUUUCCUCAGUUCCAAACAGGCAGACUUUGACUCAUUGCACUCACUAGCACUCCACCCCCAUUAUGUCUCACUAGCCCGACUAUUUUACACCAAUAUCACUGUACUAAUAGCACAGGCUGCCAGCGACCAAAAUGCCCACACAGUGAGCCAUGCCCCAAGUUGCCUUAAUUUCACUGUUGAAAUCACUAUGCCCCUUUGGCAACUUUAUAUAGGAGCCUUGAUACACUAUAAUACACGCUAGCCGAUCAGGUUGUUCUAAACACCUUACAUGGGCCUACUAAUGUCCUAUCUUAACAUGACUAACUACUGUAUAGAUACGCAGUCUCUCUAAGCAUACUACUACACACAUAGUUUAGCCAAUGUAUCGUUUACUAAGAAUGUCUUAUUUUACAAUGCCUAGCUCACGAAAACAUAGUUUGACACACUAUGACUUUAGCGAGUUAACUCGUAUAUAGGCAAUCAAUUCCUAACUUAAUCUAUCAACAUGGCGAAUCGCAUGAGCUUGUUUAACUCUUAACAUGUUACCUGUUCUGAUUAUAAAAAAAAUGUGCAAUGUUUUUCAAUGCCAUACUAACGAUAUCGUAGGUCUACAUAUUGGCUUGCACCAGCUAUUGUGGCAGUGCAAACAUGGUUGUUCACACUAUGCAUGAAUAAAAUAAAGAAUUUAAAAAAAAAAA